rnacentral:rRNA from 1 species
CCUACGGGUGGCAGCAGUAGGGAAUAUUCCACAAUGGGGGAAACCCUGAUGCAGCAACGCCGCGUGAGUGAAGAAGUAUUUCGGUAUGUAAAGCCCUAUCAGUAGGGAAGAGAAUGCCGGUACCUGACUAAUAAGCUUUGGCUCACUACGUGCCAGAAGCCGAGGUAUUACGUAGGGGGCGAGCGUUCUGCGGAUUUACUGGGUGUAAAGGGAACGUAAAUGGUUCUGCAAGUAUGAAGUGAAAGCCCGUGUCUUAAACGGGGAACGGCUUUGGAAACUGUGAGACUGGAGUGCUGGAGAGGAGAGCGGAAUUCCUAGUGUAGCGGUGAAAUGCGUAGAUAUAAGGAAGAACACCAGUGGCGAAAGCGGCUUGCUGGUCAGUAACUGACGUUGAGGCUCGAAAGCGUGGGGAGCAAACAGGAUUAGAUACCCCAGUAGUC